rnacentral:rRNA from 1 species
UACGUAGGGUGCAAGCGUUAAUCGGAAUUACUGGGCGUAAAGCGUGCGCAGGCGGUUAUGUAAGACAGAUGUGAAAUGCCCGGGCUUAACCUGGGAACUGCAUUUGUGACUGCAUGGCUAGAGUUUGGCAGAGGGGGGUAGAAUUCCACGUGUAGCAGUGAAAUGCGUAGAUAUGUGGAGGAACACCGAUGGCGAAGGCAGCCCCCUGGGUCAAGACUGACGCUCAUGCACGAAAGCGUGGGGAG